GUGAGUCAGGGAGCUGAUUUCGGGAUUUGCUCUUGAAUGAGCAAGUGUUGAUUAAUGAACACUAAUCCUGAGGAAGGUCCGGACACCAUAAAUGGCCAGCUCCUGAAAGGGAGACGAUCGUGAGGUCGAGCUCUGCUACAGAAACGACACAGCCUUCAAUCGCAAGGAUCCAUGCGGGGAGCAUGUUUGAAGGAUUUGCUGAAACGGGUACCUUGGCCGGUGCAAGAGCCUUAGCCGCUCGCAUAGACGGAUAUCAGCGCGCAUGGUCUGUCUCUAUAACCUUUAGAAAAGGAGAGAAACAGCAUUCGACAAAAUCUGGCCUACUCUGACUCAC
rnacentral:RNase_P_RNA from 1 species